rnacentral:tRNA from 1 species
GGAGAGGUGAUUUGAUGGUUAAGAGUACUGGCUGUUCUUCCAGAGGACCUGGGUUCAAUUCCCAGCACUUCUA